ensembl:lincRNA
GCUGGGGCUUGGAGUGCUCAGGAUAAUAUAAUGAUCAGAGAUGACAGAUGGAUCAUUGACACGCUUCAAGACACUAUGGCCCACUAUUUAAUUUUGUUUUCUUAAUGGACCAAGAAGAAAGUGAAGGCCUGCAUCCAUCCAGAUGACCAUCAUCAGACACAUCAGACACAAGCAGAUACCUGCCCCUCAGUUGCUGGGCCCAGCUGCUGGUGGCCACAGGCAUGCACAGGCAGAGUCAUGGUCCAGAAGAUACGCAUGACUUCAGAGGGAGUUUCCUGUGCUGCUACAGAACAGUUCCAAAGCCACAAAGAACUAGCUGCCUGCUAUAUCAAGAGAGCAUCUGAAACAGAUCUGAAUUCCUGUACCAAGUGUGUUAUGGUGAUCCCACCGAGUUUCAUCAGAUCCUCCCGAUUAAAUCAUUGAACUAACUUAAUUAUCAUUAAUAAGCAUGCAUCAAAAAACAUAUAGUAAUGCUAUCUGAUAAAGCCAAACAUUAUAGGGAGACUGUCCAAACCCAGAAGUCAGGAAUAUGGACUGAAUUCAAUCCAGGUAAUACCCAAACCCACAGCUGGACGGCCCUCCAGGUCCCACAGGUC